rnacentral:rRNA from 1 species
GACGAACGCUGGCGGCGUGCCUAAUACAUGCAAGUCGAACGAGAGCGACCGGUGCUUGCACUGGUCAAUCUAGUGGCGAACGGGUGAGUAACACGUGGGUAACCUGCCCAUCAGAGGGGGAUAACAUCCGGAAACGGAUGCUAAAACCGCAUAGGUCUUCGAACCGCAUGGUUUGAAGAGGAAAAGAGGCGCAAGCUUCUGCUGAUGGAUGGACCCGCGGUGCAUUAGCUAGUUGGUGAGGUAACGGCUCACCAAGGCCGUGAUGCAUAGCCGACCUGAGAGGGUGAUCGGCCACAUUGGGACUGAGACACGGCCCAAACUCCUACGGGAGGCAGCAGUAGGGAAUCUUCCGCAAUGGACGCAAGUCUGACGGAGCAACGCCGCGUGAGUGAAGAAGGUUUUCGGAUCGUAAAACUCUGUUGUUAGAGAAGAGCAAGUGCUAGAGUAACUGUUAGCGCCUUGACGGUAUCUAACCAGAAAGCCACGGCUAACUACGUG